rnacentral:tRNA from 1 species
UCUCAGUUGGUAAAGCAUCUGCCUACAAUGCAGGAGACCCAGGUUCGAUUCCUGGGUUGGGAA